rnacentral:lncRNA from 1 species
AUUGAAAUCCAACAAAAAUUUCAUGGUCAAUCCUUAUGUAAUUGCUUUAGAUCAAAUCCAGCAAAUUAUAAUAUAAUCCAUAGUUGUCCAUCAUAUUCCAAACUCCAUGUAUCAUAAUAUUUUGUGAUCCUUUAUGCAUAAUCACAAUAUUUAACUAAAAAUCAUAAAGAUACCUCACACUACAAUCAUCAUAGAUCUAUACCACAAUGUCUUUAAUGCUG